rnacentral:rRNA from 1 species
CAGAGUUUGAUCCUGGCUCAGAGUGAACGCUGGCGGUAGGCCUAACACAUGCAAGUCGAACGGCAGCACAGGAGAGCUUGCUCUCUGGGUGGCGAGUGGCGGACGGGUGAGGAAUACAUCGGAAUCUACUUUUUCGUGGGGGAUAACGUAGGGAAACUUACGCUAAUACCGCAUACGACCUACGGGUGAAAGCAGGGGAUCUUCGGACCUUGCGCGAUUGAAUGAGCCGAUGUCGGAUUAGCUAGUUGGCGGGGUAAAGGCCCACCAAGGCGACGAUCCGUAGCUGGUCUGAGAGGAUGAUCAGCCACACUGGAACUGAGACACGGUCCAGACUCCUACGGGAGGCAGCAGUGGGGAAUAUUGGACAAUGGGCGCAAGCCUGAUCCAGCCAUACCGCGUGGGUGAAGAAGGCCUUCGGGUUGUAAAGCCCUUUUGUUGGGAAAGAAAUCCAGCUGGCUAAUACCCGGUUGGGAUGACGGUACCCAAAGAAUAAGCACCGGCUAACUUCGUGCCAGCAGCCGCGGUAAUACGAAGGGUGCAAGCGUUACUCGGAAUUACUG